rnacentral:misc_RNA from 1 species
UGGUUUGUUAAAGGCUCAAAAUCGUCAGGUUCCAGAAAUCGGAAGACCAGCUUUGUUACAUUAGUGUUGACUCGUGCAGCAAUACUUCCCAAGAAAGCCAGCUCUGGAGAAGAGAUAUAAUUGAUAAUCACUUUUCUAGAUAGAGCAAGUAUAUACUUUCUCAUGCUCAAAUUGUGUUGCGUGAAGAAGGCAUCAUGCUGAACAUUCAACCAUGUGCCUAGUGGUUUUAGUGCAGUCACAUUCUCAACAGUCUGAAUUGGAAACAAAUUGCCAUCAAACUUGUUAGAUCGAGAAUAGACACCCUGGGUAUAGACGACAGAUGAUACUAAGUCAUUGAAAGUGAAAUCCACUGAAAACCAUCCUUGGGUGGGAACACCAUUAACUAGGUAAGUCUGGCGCUUAUUUUCGAAAACUAGAUUAAUAUCGGUAGAAUUUUCUAGCCUGAGAUCAGGAGCACAAAUCCCUAUUCCAUCUUUGGUUAACUGCACAUCACACAAUAGAAUUACAUCGGGUACACUGGUCAGCAAUGCCAAUUGAUAAGCAAUUGAGCUUGAAUCUGGAAAUAUCCCUGAAAACCCUCCACGUGCUACAACUAAAGGUGGCUUUCCGCUAAGUGUCUGCCAGCGACUAGUAGAUCUCUGAGCAGAAACCAGAGUUACUACAGAGAGAAGCAGCAGAAAUUCAAUCAUUAGAGAAUUAAAGGCGCGUGGGCUAGUCAUUGCAGCCGGUGAAUCUCUCCGGCGACUCAUCGACUGAGCAAAGCAGCUUCCGGUCAGUUACUUGAGGAAAUGCGCGAGAUUUGAUAGAGAGAGAGAGAGAG